GAAGUGCUGCCCAGUCCUGUGCAUCCUAACAGAUUUUGGGGAGAAAAGGUGAUUCAAGAGAAGGGUCAAGAAGGAGCAGCUGCAGCAGGCUGAUAGCCAGCUGUGAUAAGAGAUCAAACUCAGCUGAACAAAUGCAAACAUCCAAACAGUGUGGAACCAGCAGUUCAUGCUUCUGAAUGAAUGAAGUGGUGCCUCAAGCCAAAGCUGAGGUGAAACUGGAAACCUCCAGAAG
rnacentral:lncRNA from 12 species